UGCGGUUUCUAAGCUUUAUAGGCCUACUUGUUAUGUUCAGUUUGAUCUUAUUUCAGAUGAAUUGAUUUGUUUGUUUGUUUUAUUCGGGGAGAGGGGAGGUGUUUGGGAUUCCCUGUAAUAAUCCUAGCGAUUAAAUAAUGCUGUCUUCUAGUACUUACUAUUCAGUUCGAGUAUUAUUUUUUUUUUAACGUAGGUCAUUCUCAAUUCUUUGCAACUUUCACUUUAUGCCGACACCAUCUCAUGAGGGCUGCUGGGCCAACGAAAGUUGACGUUCCGGGGUGAUGGUUCUCUCACUGGCUGUCAUUAAAAAAAAACCUGGAUUCCCGUCAAGGUGGUUUCAAUCAUCAAGUGCCAACGCCCAUUCAUAUCAAAAGUCACCAAGACAUUGAAGCGAAGAAUCAAUAGCUUUUCCAGGCAAACGUCAUGUUGAUUUAGCUGUUUUGGUGCCCUUUUAUGUUUAUCUGGUACUCAUUAAUCAUCGUUUCUUCUCUCUCGAACAGAGUUGUCCCAGCCGUGAAUGUCAGCACGCAAACAGUGGUUCACCUUGCUGUUGGUGGGGGUGUUCAUGUAAGCUGUCUUCAUCAUACAAGGUAGGAUUUAUUUUAGUUUUGAUUUGUGCUUAAAGCUUUUGGCUGUUAUCAUCAACAUUCUCCAUUUUCCAUUCUCGCAUUGCAUUCCUGUUCUCGGCUUCAAACAUUUCUCUAUUCAGUAAGGAGUAAGGAAAAUGCAGAUCGAAUC